GCCUGGCUGGCUCAGUUGGUGGAGCAUGCAACUCUUGAUGUCAGGGCUGUGAGUUCAAGUCCCACACCGGGUA
rnacentral:tRNA from 1 species